CAAAAUUAUGUUGAAUAACUGAAAGAUGAAAACACAAUCACUUGAAGGAGAAAUGUAUGGUCAAACUGCAUGCAGGAAAAACUUCUAUAAAAGAGUUACUUCAUGCUCUGGGUUGGCAGAUACAAUGAGCAGGAGUGCAUCAGAAGUAAUCAAGAAGGUGAUUAGUUGGUGUACUUCAGCAGGAGCAACCAGAUGAAUUGGCUUCUCUAUAUCCCCGUAUUAGCCACAAGCUAGGCAGCAGCCUGCAGGUGGGAGCAAUGCCUAUGCAUGUAUGGAUCAGUGUGCUACAUACAGUCACGUUGACAGCAUGAACCUUCGAUGUGAUGUGAGGAAAAUGGCAUUCUACCUCUGUGUUCUUCCUCCCCAAAAUUUGUAACCACCAUCUAAUCAUGAGGAAAACAUCAUACAAGUCCAAAUUGAGGAAGAUUCUACAAAAUGCCUGAUUAAUAUUCAUCGAAACUGUCAAGGUCAUCAAAAGCAAGGAAAGUCUGAGAAACUGCCACAGCCUAAAGACAAUCCAGGGAAACGUGAUGACUCAGUGGUAUUCGGGGUGGGUUUCUGGAACAGCAAAAGGACAACAGGAGAUGGAAUUGGCCUAGUCAGUCAGAUUCUGGCCAAGUGGAGAAGACCAUGUCAAGGAUUGGGUUCUUGAGGGACUGGAGGUGGAACUAAGUCAAAGUCUCCAGGUUGAACCACAGAAGAUAACCGGUACAAACAAGAGAAGACCAUAUGCAAA
rnacentral:lncRNA from 1 species